GUUCGGGGGACAGGGUGACAGGUGGUGCAUGGUUGUCGUCAGCUCGUGUCGUGAGAUGUUGGGUUAAGUCCCGCAACGAGCGCAACCCUCGCCUCUAGUUGCCAGCAUUCGGUUGGGCACUCUAGAGGGACUGCCGGCGACAAGUCGGAGGAAGUGGGAUGACGUCAAAUCAUCAUGCCCCUUAUGACCUGGGCUACACACGUGCUACAAUGGGCGGUACAAAGGGCUGCGAACCCGCGAGGGGGAGCGAAUCCCAAAAAGCCGCUCUCAGUUCGGAUUGCAGGCUGCAACUCGCCUGCAUGAAGCCGGAAUCGCUAGUAAUCGCGGAUCAGCAUGCCGCGGUGAAUACGUUCCCGGGCCUU
rnacentral:rRNA from 1 species